rnacentral:rRNA from 1 species
AUGGAGUGCAGGGACAGGUGGUGCAUGGAUGUCGUUAGCUUGUGUAGUGAGAUGAUGGGUUAAAUCAAGCAAAGAAAACAACCCAAGUCUUUAGUUGCCAGCAUUUAGUUGGGCACUCUAGUGAGACCGCCGGUGAUAAACCGGAGGAAGGAGUGGAUGAAGUCAAGUCAUCAUGCCCAUUACAUCUUGGGCUACACAAGUACUACAAUUAUACGGACAAAGGGCAGCAAGUUUGAGAGGACAAGCAAAUACCAUAAUCCGUGGCUCAGUUCAGAUCGUAGGCUGCAAAUUGCAUACGUGAAGGAGGAAUCGAUAGUAAAACAGGUCAGCAUAAUGCGGUGAAUACGUUCCCGGUCCUUGUACACACCGCCCGUCACACCAUGGAAGUAGUCCACGCCCGAAGCCGUUACUUCAACCCUGGUGGAGGAGGACGUAGAAGGUGGGGCUGAUGUCUGGGG